rnacentral:piRNA from 1 species
UGAAGUGGACCUGAGCAUGAGGAACCUGA